AACCAAAAGUGACAAGUUGGAUAACUAAUAGAGAGAAAUGAAAGUUUGAACAUCUUUUAACAGAUCGAAAUAUGGGAUGUAAUCAGGAGGUGUUGUGUGAUGGACAGAUUCUUGAUGGGGCAUACUACUGAAAGAAACCCGUGCAACCUGUGGAUGACCCCUAUGGUAUAAAUGCUGUCAUUGUUUUUGGAACUUUCUCUGUCCCAGUGGCAGACAUGUAUCCUGAAAUGAUACAUUUGGAAGAGACAACAGUUGAAAUUCCUGAACCCGAGGAAGAGAAUUCUGCAUCUUAGGCUGCACCAAUGUAACAGAAUUUACAACAUGAAUUCUUUCACUCUGAAGACUACUUGCACAAGGAAAUUAUAUUUUAUUAUCGAUACACUCAUUUUAAAGCUAGAUAAAAGUAGUUUAAUUUUGUAGCAUUGUUAUUUUCUGAUUAAGUGGUGCUUUUCCUUUAUCAAGCAUUCAGAAAUGUUCAUAAGAAGCAACAUUUGUAAUGUUUAUAGUGAAGUACUAUGUAAGCUAAUAACGGACAUACAGUAAUGAAAACAAAAGAGGCGAGAGGUGUGCUUUAGGCAAGAGGUGUGCUUUUUUGGAUAGGAACAGCUGGGUUGGAAAACAAGGCAUUAUUUUACAUUGCUGUGCAAAAGCCAAUCAUUUCCCAAUGGGAGAGGGAUGGAAAUGGCCAAUGGAAGAAACCAUCACUGAGUCAUUGUUGCAAGCUUCCAAUCUCCUCUCUAGGAGGGACAAGGUUGGGGUUUCAGAGCAAUCAUCUUCCAUACAGUGAGCUGGAGGAAAUACAACCAUAAUGCAACCAUAGCAGAAAUGGUGGAGGAAACCAAAUGAGUAAAAUAUGCUCAAAUAUCAUCAGUGAUAUCCUUGUAAAAUAUCACCUGUAACUGCAAUACCACUCAUCACACCUCACCAACAAUUCCUGAACAUUUUUUGCACCUUCAAUGUCACCUCUUACUAGUCCAUUGCAUUAUGUAUGACUCUGUAUAUUGUAUAUUAUUUUGUACAGAAAUAGCAUGUAUUUUGGCUCAGAAUUAUUAAAUUAUCCUGAUUGCAAUGUUAUUGUUAAUUAUUAUCUACUUUAUUGUAUGGAUUGAAAUGUGAAUAUGUAAGUUUGAAAGAGUAAAGUGAUUGGGCCUGCAUUUCACUUUAACAAA